UGAGGAAUAUUGGUCAAUGGGCGAGAGCCUGAACCAGCCAAGUAGCGUGCAGGAUGACGGCCCUAUGGGUUGUAAACUGCUUUUAUAUGGGAAUAAAGUGAGGGACGUGUCCCUUAUUGCAUGUACCAUACGAAUAAGGACCGGCUAAUUCCGUGCCAGCAGCCGCGGUAAUACGGAAGGUCCAGGCGUUAUCCGGAUUUAUUGGGUUUAAAGGGAGCGUAGGCUGUUUGUUAAGCGUGUUGUGAAAUGUAAGAGCUCAACUUUUAGAUUGCAGCGCGAACUGGCAGACUUGAGUACGCACAACGUAGGCGGAAUUCAUGGUGUAGCGGUGAAAUGCUUAGAUAUCAUGACGAACUCCGAUUGCGAAGGCAGCUUACGGGAGCGCAACUGACGCUAAAGCUCGAAGGUGCGGGUAUCGAACAGG
rnacentral:rRNA from 1 species